ACAUAUACAAUUUAUGAGACUAAAACUAAUUUUCCAUUUCAACAUUUUGAAUGAAAAUCUCGGCCCUUUAGCCUCCCAAAAACCGAACACCCAAUCAAAGGGUGGUUUGGAGGAUCUUUUCUUUCACACUUCCAAGACCAAGCUUUAAUACAUCAACACUCCAUCCCAUUUUCCUACAUUUUUCAUUAUUGCUUCUCUUCCCAAACAAACACAUACAUUACACUAAGAAAAACACUUUUCUGAUUUUGUCCUCUCCAAUCUACGGUUCAAAAGGCAAAAGAAAUACAAGAACAAAUCAACCUAAACAUUUAAUAAUAAAAAGGAUUUGUAAGGGAUUAAUCAAGGGUUAUUACAAUCUAGGUUUAAGGGUUAUUUCAAGCUUAGAAUAAAGGUUAUUUGGAGCUUAAGAGUCACGAAAUUUUCUGCCUACUUUCAUCCUCAAAUCCAAGUUCUUCAAGGGCUUGCUUGAGGGACGGCACCACUAAGCACACUUCUCAUAUUUGAUCAGCCCCCAUUACUCUCAAAUCAAGUUUAGAGCAGUAGGUUUGCUAAUGGACCGCCUCUGGAUGUUGUAACUAUUUGAUGUUUGAAGGCUUGUAAUGCAAACAAGUAUCUUUU